rnacentral:rRNA from 1 species
GACGAACGCUGGCGGCGUGCUUAACACAUGCAAGUCGAGCGGUAAGGCCCUCUCGGGGGUACACGAGCGGCGAACGGGUGAGUAACACGUGGGUGACCUGCCCUCAGCUCUGGGGAUAAGCCUGGGAAACCGGGUCUAAUACUGGAUAUGACUCCAUGACGCAUGUUGUGGGGUGGAAAGCCUUGUGCGGCUGAGGAUGGGCCCGCGGCCUAUCAGCUUGUUGGUGGGGUGAUGGCCUACCAAGGCGACGACGGGUAGCCGGCCUGAGAGGGCGACCGGCCACACUGGGACUGAGACACGGCCCAGACUCCUACGGGAGGCAGCAGUGGGGAAUCUUGCGCAAUGGGCGAAAGCCUGACGCAGCGACGCCGCGUGAGGGAUGACGGCCU